rnacentral:tRNA from 1 species
GCCCCUGUAGUUUAAUAGAGAAAAUAUGACCAUUCUAAGGUCAAGAUAGAGGUUUGAAUCCUCUCAGGGGUA